rnacentral:rRNA from 1 species
ACGCUCGACACCUACGGGAGGCAGCAGUGGGGAAUAUUGGGCAAUGGGCGCAAGCCUGACCCAGCAACGCCGCGUGAAGGAAGAAGGCCCUCGGGUUGUAAACUUCUUUUGUCAGGGACGAAGCAAGUGACGGUACCUGACGAAUAAGCCACGGCUAACUACGUGCCAGCAGCUGCGGUAAUCUGAGCGGCUGGCAAGGC